rnacentral:rRNA from 1 species
GGGGAGUCUUCCGCAAUGGAAGAAACGCUGACGGAGCAACGACGCGAGAACGAUGUCGGCCUUCGGGUUGUAAAGAUAAGUUAUACGGGACGAAUGGCGUAGCGGUCAAUACCCGUUACGAGUGACGGUACCGUAAGAGAAAGCCACGGCUAACUACGUGCCAGCAGCCGCGGUAAUACGUAGGUGGCAAGCGUUGUCCGGAAUUAUUGGGCGUAAAGGGCGCGCAGGCGGCGUCGUAAGUCGGUCUUAAAAGUGCGGGGCUUAACCCCGUGAGGGGACCGAAACUGCGAUGCUAGAGUAUCGGAGAGGAAAGCGGAAUUCCUAGUGUAGCGGUGAAAUGCGUAGAUAUUAGGAGGAAAACCAGUGGCGAAAGCGGCUUUCUGGACGACAACUGACGCUGAGGCGCGAUAGCCAGGGGAGCAAACG